CCAAUCUAGGAUGGCUUACUCCUCCAUGAACAUGGGGUAUAGUACACAGCCAAUGCUAUGAUGCCUUCACCUUUCGGCUAAAUGCUCUUCCUUUGAAGAAGAAAACCAGUCAGGAACCUACAGAUGUUCCAGAAAAGAAUGUUAAUGAACAUGAAUAUUGGACAUGUAACUCCUGAAGUAUUUUGAAGAAACAGUUGAGACUGAGCGAACAGGAAAUCCUUCAAGGCAACUGCUCCCAGAACAGUGAAAGGAAUGGAAACUGGAACAUCAGCCAUAUCUCAUUUCAAAAGGUGCCGAAUGGGAGCUUUUGUAGGGUCUGGAUGUGUGGUUGUGGUAUUGCAGGCAGUGCAGCAAAUUGCCAGGUGCCAGCUGAGCCACAGUUACCCUGGAGGCUGUGUCCUUCCCUUUCCCAUAGAAAAUGUA
rnacentral:lncRNA from 1 species